rnacentral:rRNA from 1 species
AACGAACGCUGGCGGCAGGCCUAACACAUGCAAGUCGAACGUGAAGCCACCUUCGGGUGGUGGAAAGUGGCAGACGGGUGAGUAACGCGUGGGAACGUGCCUUUCGGUUCGGGAUAACCCAGGGAAACUUGGGCUAAUACCGGAUACGCCCUCCGGGGGAAAGAUUCAUUACCGAAACAUCGGCCCGCGUCGGAUUAGCAAGUGGGUGGGGUAAAAGCCUACCAAGGCGACGAACCGUAACUGGUCCGAGAGGAUGACCAGCAACACUGGGACUGAGACACUGCCCAGACUCCUACGGGAGGCAGCAGUGGGGAAUAUUGGACAAUGGGCGCAAGCCUGAUCCAGCCAUGCCGCGUGGGUGAAGAAGGCCCUAGGGUUGUAAACCCCUUUCAGCGGGGAGAUAAUGACGGUACCCGCAGAAGAAGCCCCGGCUAACUCCGUGCCAGCCGCCGCCGUAA